rnacentral:lncRNA from 1 species
CCUUAAUGGCGCCGCACCGAAUGGAGUGAAGAAGAAGACCACCCAAAUGCUGACCUCAGGUCAGGCCAGACGACAAGCUCGGCCCAACAGGCCCAAUCUCCCCAUUGCCGGCCUUUACUUCAGACCAAUAUCUAGAGAUGGCAAUGGGUACGAUUUGGAUCGAAUAGUAUAUUAUCCAUCUUCAAACCCAAAUUUAAUAUUCUAUACAUAAACUCUACCCGAUACCAAUCGGAUAAGAAAAGAGAUACCCAUCCCCAUACCCAAUGGGUUCGGGGAUACCCGUGGGUAACCCAUUUCCCCAUACCC